rnacentral:rRNA from 1 species
AUUGAACGCUGGCGGCAGGCCUAACACAUGCAAGUCGAACGAGUGGCGGACGGGUGAGUAAUAUCUGGGAAACUCCCUUAUGGGGGGGGAUAACUACUGGAAACGGUAGCUAAUCCCACAUACCAUCGGAUUUGCCCAGAUGGGAGUAGCUAGUAGGUGGGGUAAAGCCUCACCUAGGCUACGAUCCCUAGCUGGUCUGAGGGGAUGACCAGCCACAAUGGAAAGGAGACACGGACCAGAAUGAGACGGGAGGCAGCAGUGGAGAAUAUUGCACAAUGGGCGCAAGGCUGAUGCAGCCAUGCCGGGUGUAGGAAGAAGGCCUUCGGGUUGUAAAGUACUUUCAGCGAGGAGGCGUUACCCGCAGAAGAAGCACCGGCUAACUCCGUGCCAGCAGCCGCGGUAAUUC